rnacentral:rRNA from 1 species
AGCCUGAUGCAGCCCGCCGCGUGAGUGAUGAAGGCCUUCGGGUCGUAAAGCUCUUUGAUCAGGGAUGAUAAUGACAGUACCUGAAAAACAAUCCACGGCUAACUACGUGCCAGCAGCCGCGGUAAUCGU